rnacentral:rRNA from 1 species
CCUACGGGAGGCAGCAGUGAGGAAUAUUGGUCAAUGGACGAGAGUCUGAACCAGCCAAGUAGCGUGAAGGAUGACUGCCCUAUGGGUUGUAAACUUCUUUUAUAAAGGAAUAAAACGAGGCACGUGUGCCUUUUUGCAUGUACUUUAUGAAUAAGGAUCGGCUAACUCCGUGCCAGCAGCCGCGGUAAUACGGAGGAUCCGAGCGUUAUCCGGAUUUCUUGGGUUUAAAGGGAGCGUAGAUGGGUUGUUAAGUCAGUUGUGAAAGUUUGCGGCUCAACCGUAAAAUUGCAAUUGAUACUGGCAGUCUUGAGUACAGUUGAGGUAGGCGGAAUUCGUGGUGUAGCGGUGAAAUGCUUAGAUAUCACGAAGAACCCCGAUUGCGAAGGCAGCUUACUAAACUGUGACUGACAUUGAUGCUCGAAAGUGUGGGUAUCAAACAGGAUUAGAUGCCCCAGUAGUC